rnacentral:tRNA from 1 species
GGUUGUGGCUCAGUGGUAGAGCACAUGCUUAGCAUGUGUGAGGCCCUGGGUUUGAUUCUAAGCACCA